rnacentral:rRNA from 1 species
UACCUGGUUGAUCCUGCCAGUAGCAUAUGCUUGUCUCAAAGAUUAAGCCAUGCAUGUCUAAGUACAAGCCGCUUGACGGCGAAACCGCGAAUGGCUCAAUAAAUCAGUUAUGGUUCCUUAGAUCCACCCAUCCUACUUGGAUAACUGUGGUAAUUCUAGAGCUAAUACAUGCACUCAAGUCCCGACUACCGGGUCAAACCGGUCAGGAAGGAUGCUUUUAUUAGAUCAAAACCAGUCGGGGUGGCGUAGCGAUACGCCGUCCCCGUUCCGUUUGGUGACUCUGGAUAACUUCUCGCGGAUCGCACGGUCUCGCACCGGCGACGCGUCUUUCAAAUGUCUGCCUUAUCAACUGUCGAUGGUAGGUUAUGCGCCUACCAUGGUUGCAACGGGUAACGGGGAAUCGGGGUUCGAUUCCGGAGAGGGAGCCUGAGAAACGGCUACCACAUCCAAGGAAGGCAGCAGGCGCGCAAAUUACCCACUCCCGGCACGGGGAGGUAGUGACGAAAAAUAACGAUACGGGACUCUUCCGAGGCCCCGUGAUUGGAAUGAGUACACUUUAAAUCCUUUAACGAGGACCCAUUGGAGGGCAAGUCUGGUGCCAGCAGCCGCGGUAACUCCAGCUCCAAUAGCGUAUAUUAAAGUUGUUGCGGUUAAAAAGCUCGUAGUCGGAAGUCUGUCUUCGGCCGGGUCGCGGUCCUCUGAAUCAAGGGGUACCGUUAUGGCUCUGGGUCGGGGGUGUCAAAGCCCUCGUCCCUUAACGGUCGGACAACACCGUCGGAGUGCGGGUGCGGCGCGCCCCGUUCGGUCGCGCUCGCGCGGCCUGCGGGGGCCGCGUCCCCCGCCGUAAUCGUCCGGGGUGCCUUUAACCGGGUGUCUCGGGCGGCCGACACUGUUUACUUUGAACAAAUUAGAGUGCUCAAAGCAGGUGCAUCCCACGCCUGAAUAUCUCAGCAUGGAAUGAUAAAAGAGGACCUCGGUCUUAUUUUGCUGGUCUUUUCUUUAGACCCGAGGUAAUGGUCAAUAGAGACGGACGGGGGCAUCCGUACUGCGGCGACAGAGGUGAAAUUCUUGGACCGCCGCAAGACGAACAACAGCGAAGGCAUUUGCCAAGAAUGUUUUCCUUGAUCAAGAACGAAAGUUAGAGGUUCGAAGGCGAUCAGAUACCGCCCUAGUUCUAACCAUAAACGAUGCCAACCAGCGAUCCGCCGGCGUUACUCCCAUGACUCGGCGGGCAGCUUCCGGGAAACCAAAGUCUUUGGGUUCCGGGGGAAGUAUGGUUGCAAAGCUGAAACUUAAAGGAAUUGACGGAAGGGCACCACCAGGAGUGGAGCCUGCGGCUUAAUUUGACUCAACACGGGAAACCUCACCAGGCCCGGACACUGGAAGGAUUGACAGAUUGAGAGCUCUUUCUUGAUUCGGUGGGUGGUGGUGCAUGCCCGUUCUUAGUUGGUGGAGCGAUUUGUCUGGUUAAUUCCGAUAACGAACGAGACUCUAGCCUGCUAAAUAGGUGGCGGGUUUUAUUGAAAAAGUACGGGGGGUCCGAGCCGGAGGGAACCGGUGGCCGUUUUCGUGGCGGGGGGUACGGGGCGGGUCCGCGCGGCCGGCGGGCGCGUCGUCAAGGGGGUUUUGGGCCCUCGUCGUUUCGCGACGGCGGGGGUUCGGGCCUUCCGGCGGCGCGCUCCGACGGUUCGCGUUGCCCGUUACCGGCCUCUCGUCGCGGGCGGUCAUCCCCUUCGAUACUUGGGCCCUCGCGUCCGCCACUUCUCUUCUUAGAGGGACAAGCGGCGUCCAGCCGCGUGACAGUGAGCAAUAACAGGUCUGUGAUGCCCUUAGAUGUCCUGGGCCGCACGCGCGCUACACUGAAGGAAUCAGCGUGUUUGCUUUCCCUGUCCGAGAGGACCGGGUAACCGCUGAACCUCCUUCGUGGUUGGGAUUGGGGACUGCAAUGAUCCCCAUGAACCAGGAAUCCCUAGUAGGCGCGGGUCACUAGCCCGCGUCGAUUACGUCCCUGCCCUUUGUACACACCGCCCGUCGCUACUACCGAUUGAAUGAUUUAGUGAGGCCUUCGGACGGGCCCGUCGGGGUGUUUCCAGCCGGGGGGCAACUCUCGGUUGGGGCUCCUAUUCACGGCGGGACUGAAAGAUGGUCGAACUUGAUCCUUUAGAGGAAGUAAAAGUCGUAACAAGGUUUCCGUAGGUGAACCUGCAGAUGGAUCAUUA